rnacentral:rRNA from 1 species
UACGUAGGGUGCGAGCGUUGUCCGGAAUUAUUGGGCGUAAAGAGCUCGUAGGCGGUUUGUCGCGUCGACUGUGAAAACCUGGGGCUUAACUCUGGGCCUGCAGUCGAUACGGGCAGACUUGAGUUCGGUAGGGGAGACUGGAAUUCCUGGUGUAGCGGUGAAAUGCGCAGAUAUCAGGAAGAACACCCGUGGCUAAGGCGGCUCUCUAGUACGGUACUGACGCUGAGACGCGAAAGCGUGGGGAGCGAACAGG